AUUGAACGCUGGCGGCGUGCCUAACACAUGCAAGUCGAGCGGUAACAGGUGUAGCAAUACAUGCUGACGAGCGGCGGACGGGUGAGUAACGCUUGGGAAUCUGCCUGUUAGUGGGGGACAACCCGGGGAAACUCGGGCUAAUACCGCAUACGCACUACGGUGGAAAGCCGGGGACCGCAAGGCCUGGCGCUAACAGAUGAGCCCAAGUCGGAUUAGCUAGUUGGUAGGGUAACGGCCACCAAGGCGACGAUCCGUAACUGGUCUGAGAGGACGACCAGUCACACCGGAACUGAGACACGGUCCGGACUCCUACGGGAGGCAGCAGUGGGGAAUAUUGCGCAAUGGGCGAAAGCCUGACGCAGCGACGCCGCGUGGGGAUGAAGGUCUUCGGAUUGUAAACCCUUUCGGGAGGGAAGAUGGAAGUGGGGUAACCCGAACUUCGGACGGUACCUCCAGAAGCAGCCACGGCUAACUUCGUGCCAGC
rnacentral:rRNA from 1 species